UACGGAGGGUGCAAGCGUUAAUCGGAAUUACUGGGCGUAAAGCGUGCGUAGGCGGCCCGGUAAGUCCGCUGUGAAAGUCCAGGGCUCAACCCUGGGAUGCCGGUGGAUACUGUCGGGCUCGGAGUCCGGAAGAGGAGUGUGGAAUUCCUGGUGUGAGCGGUGAAAUGCGCAGAUAUCAGGAGGAACACCAAUGGCGAAGGCAGCACUCGUGG
rnacentral:rRNA from 1 species